UGUACGACGAACUUGAACGACCCAGUCGACGAUUUCAACGUACAAAGUUCCUCCGAGAGUGACACAGACCGACGAACGAUCGCACACAGACCGACAGCGACCACUCAGACAGUCCAGACAUCAGACAUCAGACUGAACACAACCAACAAGCAUUGAACACUGCCCUUCCACCAAGUUCGACACGCAGACACAGAACCGCUCCAACCGACACAGAACCGCUCCAACCGACACAGAACCGUUCCAACCGACGCACUACUGUUUCUUGUGUCUACAGCAUCCACUGCAUAAUUAAGUCAUACCAGCAACA
rnacentral:misc_RNA from 1 species